rnacentral:rRNA from 1 species
GCAUUAUACAGCGAAACUGCGAAUGGCUCAUUAAAUCAGUUAUCGUUUAUUUGAUAGUACCUUACUACUUGGAUAACCGUGGUAAUUCUAGAGCUAAUACAUGCUAAAAACCCCGACUCACGAAGGGGUGUAUUUAUUAGAUUAAAAACCAAUGCCCUUCGGGGCUCUUUGGUGAUUCAUAAUAACUUUUCGAAUCGCAUGGCCUUGCGCCGGCGAUGGUUCAUUCAAAUUUCUGCCCUAUCAACUUUCGAUGGCAGGGUCUUGGCCUGCCAUGGUUACAACGGGUAACGGAGGGUUAGGGCUCGACCCCGGAGAAGGAGCCUGAGAAACGGCUACUACAUCCAAGGAAGGCAGCAGGCGCGCAAAUUACCCAAUCCCGAUUCGGGGAGGUAGUGACAAUAAAUACUGAUACAGGGCUCUUUUGGGUCUUGUAAUUGGAAUGAGUACAAUUUAAAUCCCUUAACGAGGAACAAUUGGAGGGCAAGUCUGGUGCCAGCAGCCGCGGUAAUUCCAGCUCCAAUAGCGUAUAUUAAAGUUGUUGCAGUUAAAAAGCUCGUAGUUGAACCUUGGGCCUGGCUGGCCGGUCCGCCUCACCGCGUGCACUGGUUCGGCCGGGCCUUUCCCUCUGGGGAACCUCAUGGUCUUCACUGAUCGUGAUGGGGAACCAGGACUUUUACUGUGAAAAAAUUAGAGUGUUCAAAGCAGGCCUAUGCUCGAAUACAUUAGCAUGGAAUAAUAAAAUAGGACGUGUGGUUCUAUUUUGUUGGUUUCUAGGACCGCCGUAAUGAUUAAUAGGGACAGUCGGGGGCAUCAGUAUUCAAUUGUCAGAGGUGAAAUUCUUGGAUUUAUUGAAGACUAACUACUGCGAAAGCAUUUGCCAAGGAUGUUUUCAUUAAUCAGGAACGAAAGUUAGGGGAUCGAAGACGAUCAGAUACCGUCGUAGUCUUAACCAUAAACUAUGCCGACUAGGGAUCGGACGGUGUUACUUAUUGACCCGUUCGGCACCUUACGAGAAAUCAAAGUCUUUGG